UGCUGUACUAGAUGGGGAGGUAGCGGUGCCCUGUAACCUGCAAUCCGCUAUAGCAGGAUUGAAUUCCAUCUAAAGGCUUAUUUUCUGUAGGGCCGCCCUAAAUAAGUGGUGUUGAUGCUUAGGUCCUGCGCAAUGAAAGCUCAUGAACCCCGUCAGAUCCGGAAGGAAGCAGCGGUAAGUGAUCACUUUUGUGUGCCGUGGGGGUGCCUAAGUUGAGCUAACUGUUUUGGUAACGCCUAUGGAAUUAAGUCGAUAGAUGGUGUACAGCA
rnacentral:SRP_RNA from 2 species